rnacentral:rRNA from 1 species
AUUGAACGCUGGCGGCAGGCCUAACACAUGCAAGUCGGACGAGUGGCGAACGGGUGAGUAAUAUAUUGGAACGUACCGAGUAAUGGGGGAUAACCAAUCGAAAGAUUGGCUAAUACCGCAUACCAUCAGAUGUGCCCAGAUGGGAUUAGCUAGUAGGUGGGGUAACGGCUCACCAAGGCGACGAUCAGUAGCGGGUCUGAGAGGAUGAUCCGCCACACUGGGACUGAGACACGGCCCAUACUCCUACGGGAGGCAGCAGUGGGGAAUUUUGGACAAUGGGCGCAAGCCUGAUCCAGCCAUGCCGCGUGUCUGAAGAAGGCCUUCGGGUUGUAAAGGACUUUUGUUAGGGAAGCGGGACCUAAAGAAUAAGCACCGGCUAACUACGUGCCAGCAGCCGCGGUAAUAC